rnacentral:snoRNA from 13 species
AGCACCUCAAAGCGUUUUCUUGCCAGCCUAAUAAAUGCUCUUGAAAAUCGUAGUUGUGUGCAAUAGCAAUCUUUACAAUAGCAAGUGAUUCAGUUUCGUUAUAACUUCGAUCCGUUUACGUUGUGAACAUUC